GCGUCACUAACAUCGGGCGGUUUUUUGUUGACUGAUAUCCCGCACUAUAAACCCAUCAAAGUUUCUCAUUCACUUGAAAUAGGUGCCAAAUUCUCUGAGCCCACCCAGUGUUUCGCCGGCGGUAUGCCUGCGCAGCCUCGCAUAUGAGUACCUCAAUGCUGUACUGAUUGCUUUGACCUAUCAUGGGAACAGAAAAGUAGCACUAACAUACGUGCGGGCAUCACAUUUGGCGGUAGGCUGGAAGAUAUGCUACAAGUACGCUGUAUUACUAAUCGACGCUGGCAAUAAUGCGUCUGAAACGUCUGAAGGGCCCUGUAACGGCUUUUACAAACAGCGCAUUCAUGUUAGCGUUCCAGUCUCAUACGAUAGCCCACAGCGUUUGUCAUGCAACCUGCCAGCGCAUUUCCUUCGUCCAUGAAAAAAGAUGAAUUAUGGUGAUAAAGAUGCAUAAGCCACCCGUUCCGGAGCGCAUGGCGCGCAGGGAGAGAGAGAAAGAGACAAAAAAAAAAUGAAGGAAAAGGCGCUCACACUCUUCCGAGCGCGCACGCCCUCGGGCGCGGAGCUCCUGCGCAUGCUCGGAGCUCUUGCGCAUGCGCGGCGGUGCGUCGUCUCAACGAGUGCGCCAGGCACGUAAACGGUUGUAUCGGUGUGCGGUGUCUGCCUGAACGUUGGUGUCUGUGUAUGCGUGUCUUCUUUGUGGCAUCACACGUCAACUACACCGGACGCAUACACCUGCAGCACCUUUGGGACUAAUGACACAAAGGUCAAGGCCAGCCUGGCGACCAUGCUUGCCAAGGAGUAGUGUAAAUAUUUAAUCUGUUUCCAUAAUAGCAUAAGACAUGAAUUUAAGGAAUUCAUCUAUUAUAUCCAGCAAUAAAAACUGUUAAUGCA